rnacentral:lncRNA from 1 species
UUUUAGACAUUUUUACAAGGUACUGGAGAAUUUUGUCAAAAUUUUAUGAUGGAACCUGUUGCAUUAUAAUUAUUUCAUCACCAAAUUUUUCAUUUGCUUUGACAUCUAACAGAGAAGUUGGAAGUACAAUGUAUACAUUAAAAAUCAGUCACAUUUUUCAAUUAAAAUUAUUUUUUUAGAAAUUUUUCAUGAAUACAAUAUGAUUGCUAUUAAAACCCAUUUUCUUAUUAUUCUCUUUUUUUGGUAUUUCAAUGUGUUUCAGUUAGUUUUGUUGUAAACAAUAUGCAAUGUGUUUUUACUGAACUUCAAGCACAUGUCAUAAGUAGAAGUUGAUCAAUUAUAACUGCUUUUCUACUAUAAAUCCCAAAAAUUAAGAUAUAUGAAUAGAACAUAUGAAAACAAUUCCUUAACAUUCUUAGCUCACCUGGCCCAGAGCGCCAAGUGAGCUUUUCCAAUCACUUGGCGUCUGGUGUCCAGCAUUGUCCGUCAUUGUUAACUUUUACAAAAAUCUUCAUCUCUGAAACUACUGAGCCAAAUUUAACUAAACUUGACCACAAUCAUCACUAGGGUAUCUAGUUUAAAAAUUCUGUCCUGUGACCUGGCCAACCAACCAAGAUGGGCGCCAUGGCUAAAAAUAGAACAUAGGGGUAAAAUGUAGAUUUUGGCUUUUAACUCUGAAACCAAAGCAUUUAGAGCAAAUCUGUCAAGGGUACAAUUGUUUAUCAGGUCAAGAUCUAUUUGCCCUGAAAUUUUCAGAUUAAUUGGGCAACUAGUUGUUGGGUUGCUGCUCCCCCCAUUUGUUUUAAAACUGAUAUGCUGUUAAAAUUUUAAAAAACUUUUUAUUUCAUGAGAUAUUUUUUCCAAAUGAGAUCGUUUAGAAUUCCUGAAUAUUAAAUAUAUGUAUUUUUUACACUGAUAUGAGAUGUAAACAAAAUACCUUUUCAUUAAACCAAUGACCACUAAGUUAUUUGACAUAUUUAAAUGCAUGUAUACAAAACCAUUUAGACACCACAUUUGUACUAUAGGCAACACAUUUGUACUUUAGGCAACAUAUUUGUACUAUAGGCAAUACAUUUGUACUAAAGGCAACACAUUUGUACUAUAGGCAACACAUUUUUACUAUAGGCAAUACAUUCGUACUUUAGGCAACACAUUUGUACUAUAGGCAAUACAUUUGUACUUUAGGCAACACAUUUGUUCUAUAGGCAACACAUUUGUUCUAUAGACAACACAUUUGUACUAUAGGCAACACAUUUGACUAUAGGCAAUACAUUUGUUCUAUAGGCAACACAUUUGUUCUAUAGGCAAUACAUUUGUACUUUAGGCAACACAUUUGUUCUAUAGGCAACACAUUUGUACUAUAACAGUCGUGUAUUACAUUUACUAUAUAAACCAUCAACAUGGCUCAGAUUGACAUCGUUUGUUAUAUUUAAGUUUAUGAUUAAUCUUGUAGCAUAAUUACAUAGAAAUCCAUUACAAAAAUGUUGUUAAAAUGUGAUUAAAUUUUAUGUCAUGACUGUUGAAAAAAUUGUUUUCUUUACAAAAAAAACGGUUAUUGGAUUGUUUUAAAAAUUGAAAUAAAAUAUGGACUAUGUAGUCUAUUUAUAAAUU